UUCCCCUUUGGGACAGGAAAUUUGCUGUUUGAGCAGCACCCAAAAUCUGGGCAAGGCUGUACUGCAAAACAGAAGGAGCAAGUGUAUACUUAGGGUUCUGUCCCAUUAAUGGUGUUGCUGCCUUGAAAUAUGUGUAGAUUUUCUGUUGCAAAUUGAGAAGAUAAAAUUUUAAGUAGCCUGGUAAGUGGACUUGAAGGUAACUUUUGCCCUCUUUUAUGGGCCAGUUUAUUGUAUGCUACUAAUUAAAGCGUGCAUGAAAAAAGUCAGUGAGUGAUUUGAAACUUGCUAGUCCAGUCAAAUACAGGUUGGUAUGAGAUCAGGUGCUUGCUCAUAUGCCAUCAAAUAAUCAGUCUUUCACUGAGAGUGUAUUUACUCUUUGAUAUACUUUCUGAUUAUGUUCAUGUGUGGUUUAUUUCUUAAUGUGAGUUCAAAUCCUGUUAUUUUAUACUGAUUAUUUCUUUUGUCUUACAUUUCAUACCUAUUUAUGCCUUCCAUUUAGAAUGUUUAAUUGGUGCUUCUUCCUUCUUUAAGUAAAGCAUGCACAAAGUAUAGAGAGAGUUAGAAAAUCUGGGUACCUAAUUCAUCAUCAUCCUCUCAUUUGUACAUCCAGAAAGUUAAUGAAAGAGGACCAGCACUCUAAAUAGGUCAUUGCUUUCAUGGCUGCCACUUAUUAGGUAACUUCUGUGCUUUGAGUCAUAUCAAUUGAGGGCAGAAUAAAGCCUGAGAACUAAUUUUCUUCUGCUGUGUUUUUUUUUUUUUUUUUUUUGGUUGGUUUUUUUUUAUUUUUUUUUUUUAAUUUGAAUUUUGUUGUGAUUUUGUUGUAGUUUUCCUUCCUUAGUUUUGGAAUACUUUUCCAUGAAACUCACUUGCAGGGACUUCUGAUAUAGUUUGUAUCCUCCUGUCCUGGGGAGAGAGCUAAAAAAGGGAGCUCUGGAACUUUAUACCAUUUGUCUCAAUUACUGCUCUGGUAAUGGUCUGCAGUAAGUAGUGAGAUAUUGAUCUGGUAAAAUGGUACCAUAUUGGAGCUGUCUGUUGUGGUAUUCAUCAUGCUGUCACAUCCCUAGUGCCUUGGAGUUAUUGAAAAGCGGAAUUGAGGGAGUUCUGUCAUCGCGUGUUGCAAUCCAUUCAUAAGAAAGUUCACUAAAACAUCUGAAGUAGUGUUCUUGCUUAUUUAUUUAUUUACAUCUAGUGAGAACCAUUUCAGUUCUUUGAGGUACAGAACCCUCCUAUUUCAGGCGCAGGGACAUUGAUAGGCUUGGUUACCUCUCCUCGGAUGUCUUUCUCUUGUAUAACAUUUGAUCUUUAGUCAAAGCUCACACCUGCCGCCUUUACGGAUGCUUAUGCAUUUGGGUUCCGUCCUUUGGGAGUAAUAGAUCUGAAAGCUGUGGUUCAUUGCCCUUAUACUUUUAUCUGAUAGCUGUGAGAAGGUAAACGAUGAACUUUUAUAUGUAGAAAGCUUUUAGUUUCUUCCCACACUAAAGUAUCAGCUAAUGUUAAAAGAGCUUUCAAAAAUAUAUAAAGAUACUGUCAAUCUGCACUGAGUAGAUUAAACAGUUUGAAUGAAUUAUUUUUGUUUUGGAGUCUGCCUGGCAACCUGAUGAUGAAUUUAGAAGGAUGUCAUGUUUUCUUGUAAGGCCAUGAUGAAAAGGGGAUUUAUUUACACAUAUAAGAAACAAUAUAACUAUUUAACCCAGCCAAACUAAGGGUCUGCUCUGCAGCUGCUACUGCAUGUCUUCUGUAGUUUAUAUGUACACUGUAAGUAAUCACACCCAAUUUAAAUUUAGUAUAUAAGAGUUUAGCGGGAGAGUAAUUAAAUUGUCAUUUGCUGAUUUUAAAAGUUACAAAGACAACGAAGAAAAAGCAUAGAAAUUACAGGUUGACUUUAUCUUGCAAGGUGCCUAUGAUGUCUUGUGACUCUGUGGGCCCAUAAUUCCAGUCAGCCGCAGUGUGAAUUGUAAAUAUUUUCUGAAUUGGUCACAGAAUUUUUCACAACUACAUGAAGUGUGUUCACUCUUUAUAUUCAGACAUUUUAAGAGAGAAAAAUUAGAAUACCUUUGUCAAUGUUGCAGUUCCUACAGCUAAAAUAUUAUGUUAGUGUUAGUGUUAGUGUUAGUGUUACUGGAUUUUAAGCAGGUGUUGUUGCCUUCAUAUUUUAAUAAGAAUUUAUAUUAUGUUUAGAUAUUGGUGCAAAACAGACUUUAUUAUGGGUUUAUAAUAGCCAAAUGUGCAGUACUUUUUAAUAUACAACCACAGCAUGCUCUACAGUUACUCAGAAGGAGCCUUCUGUGCUGUUAGGAAGUAUGACAUGAAUGCAUAUUAAGACUUAUCCAUGUUCUGUGUAAUAUUCCUAAGAAGUCCAAUAACUUGACAGAAGUUAACGGGAGGCAUAGAAUUCAAAGCACAUUGCUAUCACUUACUAAUUUAUUUGCUCCUUUUCCCCCCAUUAAAAACAUGGUGCUUUAAGUUUGCACAGCAAAAUGAAAACUUACCUUAAAUCUCCCAUAGGAAAUGAAAUUUAGGGCUGAAGGUACACUCUUCAGUACAGUGGCUGGGCAACAUUUCAAAUUAUGUGACUUUCAUACAUGGCUUUGUUGAUUAAACAGCUUAGCUGCUUCUGUGGUUGUAGAGUUAGAUGAAUCACCAGUUGAGCCUCUCUGAACUCUACUAUUACCUUCCCACUGAAUGUGUGUAGGACUUUUUUAUAUUCUUUUGAAUUGUUUUCUGUGCAGCCAUUGAGGAGAGAGAUGUUUUUGUUUCCUGAACUUCUGUAUAGUUGGAGGAAUUUUUUGCCACAGUGUAGAAAAGUACCUGCAAGAAGUCUGCUCUGUGAUGUAUAUCAGGCUUUUCAGAAAAAAAUAAAGAACCCUACCUCCUCCAAUAUAUGAAGCUGAUUUUUUUUUUUUUUAAUUUCCAUCAAGAUCCUGACUAACUGUCCUUGGCUCCAUAUAUCUAGAUAUCAUGGAAUCAUAAUAUCAAAGAAUAGUUUGGAUUGUAAGACACCUUUAGAAAUCAACUAGAUCAGGUCACUCAGAGCCCUGUCCAACCUGACCUGAAAUGAUUCCAGGGAUGGGGCAUCAACCAUCUCUCUGAACAACCUGUUCCAGCGUUUUAUGAUCCUUCUUGAAAAGACUUCUGAAAUCAUCUAUUUAAAAAGUUAGCCUUCUUUUAAAUCAUUACGUGUUGCAGGGCCACCACAACAGACCCUGCUGGAAAGUCUGUCCUCUCACUUCAAGUACUGGAAGGCUGCUCUAAAGUCUCUCCAGAGCUUUUCUACUCCAGACUGAACAUCCCUGACUCACUCAGGCUUUCUUUAUAGGAGAGGUGUUCCAUCACUUUGAUCCUCUUCAUGGGCCUCCUAUGGACCCACUGCAACAGGUUCAUGUCCUUCUUAUAUUGAGACCCCCAGAUGUGGACACUGGUAGAGUCUGGAGAGUGGAGCAGAGGACUAAAGGAGUAGAGGACCCCCUUGACCUACUGCUUUCAUUUCUCUUGGUGCAGCUCGGGAUGCAGCUGGCUUUUUGUGCUGCAAGAGCACAUUGCUAGGUAAUGUCCAGAACUUUUCACGCUAUAUAGUCCCAUCUUUAUAGUUUUCAGGAGCUAUCUCCCAGAACUGUCUUCAAAACUCUCCAUGCCUACUAAAGACCUUUGGUAGAUCCAAAUCACUUUCUGACUGAUCGUCAAAGUGCAGUGUUCCUCCUGUGAAGUUUCCUUUGCUUUGGUCCUCUGAGUGCACAUUUGUGGCUCCUUAGAACCUCUGUCUUCAUUUCAGUGGUCUGUGUGGGGACUGAGCUGUCCUUAUGGGAAAGGAAGGACUGUGUACUUGCUGUGAGAAGAAAGGAAAGUUCAGCAGCACCUGGAAGCUGAUGAAAAAGAAGAAAAGUGGAAUCAUAGGUGGAUAACUGAGGGAAGCUCAGCAUUGUAAACCAUAAAGAUAAUGGAAAAGCCUCUGUCCCUCAAAAUAAAAACAGUGAGACUAAUAAGACCAAUGCUUUUCUAUAUUACAACCUUUUUGUGGAUAUCUUAUUCUUUAUUCCCCCCUCUCCUGCUUCAUCUGUUAUUGUCUUUUUAUAUGUGUGCUGUCCGGAAAUGUGUCUUCAUCUCUGUUUGGAAAACAUCUAGCAUACUGUGGGGUGUUAGCACAGUGUAAAAAAUAACUCCCAGGACAAGAUUCUAUUGCAGUAUUUAUAACCAAUUUCAGGAGAAGGAGGAUCAGGUUCAUUCUUUAUGGCUUUCUCAACCGUGCCUGUAUAUUGAAGACAUUUGAUUUACUUAACAUAUGGCCAAGCGAACUGUUGGGCAUAUUGGGAAAAAUAUGUGAAACUACUUUGAAAUGUUGCAAAUGUGUUUGGAGACCUUUGUGCCACACCAAGCGUUUCUGUUGUUAUUCAAUUACUGUGGUUUGGUUUUUUUUUUUGUUUCUUUACCUUUUAAACACUGGACAGUUACAUUAUUUCUUUGAAUCAUACCGAAUAUAUUGGUAUAAUUACAAAGUAUUUAUCUGCUUCCUUGAGUGAUACCAAUUUACAUGUCUCCAGUUAAUCUGCCUAUCUUCCAAGUUCUCUCCCUCUCUCUUACCCAUUGUAAACAUUAUACUGCCAUAAUGAAAUCAUUUCCAUGUCCUAUAGAGUAUUUAGAUCAACAAGACCUUCACUUAUUAGAAAGGGCAGAGUAGUAAUGCUUUUGGCAAAGCCAUUAUUGUGGUAUUGGUAUUCACUAGAAAGGACAGAAAUAGAACAACACCAGCCUCCAUAAACAAUUCCAAUUUGAUCUGUGUACAUGAUAAAAUCUUGGCUUCUCAAUGCAUUUAGGUGCUGUCAUAGCUGUUGUUGCCAAAUAAGAAUGCAGUGUGAUGUUAUUAUAGUAAACAGCACUUAAGCACAGCUGGCAGAAUUGAUCAGGGCCACAUUAGAGUGAACUUCAGCAGAUGACUGACGCAGCAGAAACAAUAACUGAAUAUGCAAACAGUUCUUGCAAUGAAUGCUCUGGGGAUCAGGCACCAUUAUUUUUGACUUUGAACAGGGAAAAGGGGCAGAUUUGUAACCUCCUUCCACACAAAAGGGUUCUGGGUAUUCUGUAAACAUCUGACUGCCAUUUAUAAUAGUAGCUAGUUACAAAGCAAAACUCUAGACUCCCUUGACUAUUUACAUUUCAUUAAUUAUUAAAGAAAAAAACCAUAAAUAUCAGAUAAGUUUGUUUAAUGUUUCACACAGGAUUUUUUUUUCUUUGCUAGAAAAGCCUUUUCUCAAUUAAUGUUAAUCAUCGAGGACUUCCUGUUUAAAUUGCACAGAAAUGUGUGUUUGCCUCAGUAAGGGCUUUUUCCCCUUCUAAUUAUUAUGAGAGCUAAUUAUGUGACCAUGUAUUGCUAUUCUUUUAUUGUAAUAAUUUGGAUUAGUAAAAAUAAACAUAGGAUAAAUAGUG